rnacentral:rRNA from 1 species
AUUGAACGCUGGCGGCAUGCCUUACACAUGCAAGUCGAACGGCAGCACGGGGCAACCUGGUGGCGAGUGGCGAACGGGUGAGUAAUGCAUCGGAACGUACCUGUCAGUGGGGGAUAACGUAGCGAAAGUUACGCUAAUACCGCAUAUUCUGUGAGCAGGAAAGCAGGGGAUCGCAAGACCUUGCGCUGAUUGAGCGGCCGAGGUCAGAUUAGCUAGUUGGUGAGGUAAAGGCUCACCAAGGCGACGAUCUGUAGCGGGUCUGAGAGGAUGAUCCGCCACACUGGAACUGAGACACGGUCCAGACUCCUACGGGAGGCAGCAGUGGGGAAUUUUGGACAAAGGGGGCAACCCUGAUCCAGCCAUGCCGCGUGAGUGAAGAAGGCCUUCGGGUUGUAAGGCUCUUUCGGCCGGGAAGAAAUCGCACGGGCUAAUACCCUGUGUGGAUGACGGUACCGGAAUAAGAAGCACCGGCUAACUACGUGCCAGCCGCCGCCGUAAAAC